rnacentral:lncRNA from 12 species
GGGGUCAAGCAUUCUGCAUAAAAAUACCGUGGAGAAGUCUUAUAUUCAAAGCAAUGCUAUCUUGUCAACAGAAAUACCUUGACUGUCUGACUCCAGCUGGUGAGGAGACAGGGCACAGCGAGCCACAUCUAAUCCCAGGACUUUAGGAGCGAAGGGGAGGGAUGUUUUUUUGGGCUAUGUUAUCAAACACAGAAAGGAGUGGCUAAGAUGAGCGCUAUAUAAACCCCAUUUAUUCAUCACCCCCAGAUCUGUUACUUUCUCCUUCACGUUCCUGUGUUGCCCUCAUCCUCAUUGACUUCCAAACUCUCUGGUGAAGCUUUCCUCACCUCGGUUACUCCAUCAUAACACCCCUUGGCUAAAGGACAACCCUUGCCACACACACUGGGCAGCCCAGACUCACCUCUGAACCCCUUCAACUGGUGCCAGGUCCACCGGAGAACGGCUCAACAUGCCUGAGCCCACAAAGAAAGAUGAUGGCCAACCUGAAGAGAAUGUUGCCCCAGACUCUGGUGAUGGCCCAUCUGAGAAUUCGGUUGUGAUGACCCCGAAAGAGGCUAAAGUGGCAACCAAAGACACAGAGGCCAUAGUGACUGUCACAGAACCAGGGGCAGCUGUGUCCAUGCCUGCUGCUGAGACCCCUCAGCCACAGCCUGUAGUAAUUGUGGUGACUGAACUAGAGCCUGAACUAGUACAGGGUGAGGUCACAGACCCACAGCCAUUAGUGACAGAGCCUGUACAGAACGGGCACAAUGAACCUGAGCCAACACAGGCUAAGAAGCAUGUCAAGGUG